AGAUGGAUCAUUCACAUUUGUUAAACUGAAAAUGGUUUCCGUAGAAACUCGCGAAUUAAAAGUAUCUGGUUUUAAAGCCUAAUACAAAAUUGACCUUAAGUGCAUUGAUGACUUUCAGCGAUGGAUGUCUGGGUUCCCGUAACGAUGAAGGACGCAGCUAGCUGCGAAAGGCAGUGUGACUUGCAAACUUCUGAGAAUCACUAGAUUUUCGAACGCAAAAGGUACUCUUAGGCUCUGUCUAAGAGUAUGUUCACUUCAGUGCUCUUUUAUGUUUGUUAUCUUAAAUGAAAGGUAACGUGGGUAGGCGGUGUGUAGACAGCGCUUCAAUAAGCUAGGUAGAAAAACUGUUUGGUAACUCCAUACAGUUAAAACGCGAAAUUAUAAGAAAAGCCUGAAGUUGAGCAAGACAACCCGCUGAAUUUAAGCAUAUUAUUAAGCGGAGGAAAAGAAAUUAACUAAGAUUUCCUUAGUAACGGCGAGUGAAGAGGAAACAGCUCAAACUGAAAAUUAGCAGCUUGCUGCUGAAUUGUAGUCUCACGAAAUGCAACCUGUGUUUACAAUGGGAAAAGUCUCUUGGAAAAGAGUACCAUAGAGGGUGAAAGUCCCGUCCUUGCCCAGAGAUAUUCACGUUCGGUGCAUUUUCAAAGAGUCGCGUUCCUUGAGAAUGGAGCGCUAAGUGGGUGAUAAAUUUCAUCUAAAGCUAAAUAUUAACGGGAGUCCGAUAGCAUACAAGUACCGUGAGGGAAAGAUGAAAAGGACUUUGAAAAGAGAGUUAAAAGGAACUGAAAUCGUUGAAAGGUAA
rnacentral:misc_RNA from 1 species